GUUGACCUCGGAUCACGUAGGAAUACCCG
rnacentral:rRNA from 1 species